UGGUAUUGUUAAUAUUGUUUAUUUCAAAAUAUCAGAAUUCAGAAUACAUUUAUAAGUUGUUGUUUUUUUUACAAAAUCAUAAAGGCAAUGAUAUGAUACAAAGUAGCUUUCGGCAAUGUAAACAUGAAGGCUACAGAUAGCUACAUAAAAGUAAAAAUAUUAAAAAAAAGGGAAAAAUGAAUGAACAAAUUAGAUGAAUUAAGAAAAUGAAAUAGCUGGUUACUUCCCUUAUAAAAGUAAAUUCAGAGUCUGAAAUUGAAAAUUUUUUUUUUAACGUAAAAAAAGUGACCUAUGAG